rnacentral:rRNA from 1 species
GGGUGAACGCUAGCGGUGCGCCUAACACAUGCAAGUCGAGCGGUAGACUUUUCUAGCUUGCUAGAAAAGUUGAGAGCGGCGAACGGGUGAGUAACACGUUGGUAUCUGCCCCCAAGUCAGGGAUAGCCAUUGGAAACGAUGAUUAAUACCGGAUGAUCUCUUCGGAGUAAAAAUUUAUUGCUUGGGGAGGAACCUGCGGUCUAUCAGCUAGUUGGUGAGAUAAAAGCUCACCAAGGCUAUGACGGAUAUCUGGUCUGAGAGGAUGAUCAGGCACAAUGGAACUGAGACACGGUCCAUACUCCUACGGGAGGCAGCAGUGAGGAAUCUUCCACAAUGGACGAAAGUCUGAUGGAGCGACACCGCGUGAAGGAUGAAGGCCUAACGGUUGUAAACUUCUUUUCUGAAGGAGCAUAAUGAGAGUACUUCAGGAAUAAGGGACGGCUAAAUACGUGCCAGCAGCCGCGGUAAUACGUAUGUCUCAAGCGUUACCCGGAAUCACUGGGUGUAAAGGGUUCGUAGGUGGUUUGAAAAGUUGGAUAUGAAAGACCGGAGCUCAACUCCGUGUUGGUAUUCAAAACUCUUAAACUAGAAUCAGGGAGAGGUAAGCGGAAUUCUGUGUGUAGGGGUGCAAUCCGUAGAUACACAGAGGAACACCAAAAGCGAAGGCAGCUUACUGGAACUGUAUUGACGCUCAUGAACGAAAGCGUGGGUAGCGAAAAGGAUUAGAUACCCUUGUAGUCCACGCCCUAAACGAUGAUAACUAAGCGUUGCGACUCGCUCGCAGUGCUGUAGCUAACGCGUUAAGUUAUCCACCUGAGGAGUACGGUCGCAAGAUUAAAACUCAAAGGAAUAGACGGGGACCCACACAAGCAGUGGAUCACGUGGUUUAAUUCGACAAUAAACGGGGAACCUUACCCAGACUUGACAUCUACCGAAUCUACUAGAAAUAGAAGAGUGCCUUUAUUGGAGCGGUAAGACAGGUGCUGCAUGGUUGUCGUCAGCUCGUGCCUUGAGGUGUUCGGUUAAGUCCGUUAACGAGCGCAACCCAUGUUCUUAGUUAUUAUGUCUAAGAAGACUGCCUUGGUUAACAAGGAGGAAGGUGUGGAUGACGUCAAAUCAGCAUGGCUUUUACGUCUGGGGCCACACACAUGAUACAAUGGUAUGUACAAAGAGUAACAAUAUGGCGACAUGGAGUUAAUCUUGAAAGCAUAUCUCAGUCCGGAUUGAAGUCUGAAACUCGACUUCAUGAAGUUGGAAUUGCUAGUAAUCGUGAAUCAGAUAUGUCACGGUGAAUAUGUUCCUGGGUCUUGCACACACCGCCCGU